AUUCUCAUUUUCCAUCAAGCAAACGAUAAGAAAUGUUAUCAGAAACAUUGGCCAUCCCUGCAGUACUCCUUGUAAUACUCAUUUUGAUUCUAUCCUCUGUCUUGUUCCAUCUUCAAGAUGAAAGAACAAAUCCACCAGGUCCUAAACCCCUCCCAAUUAUUGGUAACCUUCACAUGCUGGGGAAACUCCCACAUCGUUCCCUUCAAGCCCUUGCCAAAAAUUAUGGACCCAUAAUGUUCAUAAAGUUGGGACAAGUCCCAACCGUUGUAGUUUCCUCCCCUGAAACUGCAGAGCUAUUCCUCAAAACCCAUGACACUAUCUUUGCUAGCAGGCCAAAAACUCUAGCUUCAGAAUACAUGUCUUAUGGAAGUAAGGGCCUAGCGUUCUCUGAGUAUGGACCCUAUUGGCGUAACGUGAAAAAGUUGUGCACCACACAACUUCUGAGUGCAUCAAAGGUCGAGAUGUUCGCUCCAUUGAGGAGGGAGGAGUUAGGAGUAUUUGUGAAGUCACUCGAAAAAGCAGCAGCCUCACGUGAUGUUGUGAAUCUGAGUGAACAGGUUGGGGAGCUUAUAUCGAAUAUUGUGUGUAGAAUGAUACUUGGCCGCAGUAAGGAUGAUAGAUUCGACCUAAAGGGGCUUGCUCGUGAGGUUCUGCGUUUGACUGGAGUGUUCAAUAUUGCAGAUUAUGUUCCUUGGACAGGCUUCUUGGAUCUUCAGGGACUAAAAGGAAAAAUGAAGAAAAUGAGUAAGGCAUUUGACGAAGUGUUUGAACAAAUCAUAAAAGACCAUGAAGAUCCUUCUGCAAGCAACAAGAAUAGUGUGCACUCUGAAGAUUUUGUGGACAUACUGCUAUCACAUAUGCACCAAGCUGUGAAUCAGCAAGAGCAGAAAUAUGUCAUUGGUAGAACUAAUAUCAAGGCAAUUAUAUUAGAUAUGAUUGCAGGGUCAUUUGACACAUCAGCUGUUGCAGUUGAAUGGGCUAUGUCGGAACUCUUAAGGAACCCAAGUGAUAUGAAGAAACUUCAAGAAGAGUUAAAUAAUGUAGUGGGGGAAAAUAAACUAGUGGAGGAGUCUGACUUGUCAAAGUUGCCUUAUUUGAACAUGGUAGUAAAGGAGACCUUAAGGUUAUAUCCGGCUGGACCCUUGCUAGUGCCUCGCGAGUCCCUAGAAGAUAUAACUAUUAAUGGUUAUCACAUAAAGAAGAAGACAAGAAUUUUAGUCAAUGCAUGGGCCAUUGGACGAGACCCUAAAGUUUGGUCAGAUAAUGCUGAUAUGUUUUGUCCAGAGAGGUUUGUGAAUAGCAAUGUAGACAUUAGAGGACAUGACUUUCAACUUUUACCAUUUGGUUCUGGUCGAAGAGGAUGUCCUGGGAUUCAAUUGGGUCUGACCACAUUUGGCCUUGUUUUGGCUCAAUUAGUGCAUUGCUUCAAUUGGGAGCUUCCAUUUGGUGUGUCUCCUGAUGACUUAGAUAUGAGUGAGAUAUUUGGCCUUUCACUACCAAGAAGCAAGCCCUUGCUAGCUAUACCAACUUAUCGCCUAUUUAUCAAAGCUUAACUAAGGGUCCUUUCGAUUGAGUAGAAAAAAAUAAAAUAAAGAUCAAAUGGUUCAUUUAUCUUUAGAAAAAUUCAUUUUAGUUCUUUAUCUUUUUAAAUUGCCUGCUUAGGAUUGGUGAGCUUCUUAUUGCAGGAAUUAGGAUGGAUCUAGAUGUUUAUGUCUGAGUCAUUGUAAAAUCAAUAAUGUAUUUAUAUAUUGAUUCUACUCAGAUCUUCAAAUCAGAGGUUUUGACUUUUUAGAUCUUCUCUCUGGAGGCUUCUUCAUAUUUACUUCUCUACAUGUUUAGAGUUUCUCAUGUAUGUUGGCAUACGACCAAGUCUAUAGCUUUUACUUUUUAUCUUUUAAUAAUAUGAAAUGGAAGUGGGCUGGCCUUCGGAUAUUUACUUA